UGCAUCGGCUAGCUACUGCUCUUUGAGUAGAGGAAAGUCCGCUCUACCACAGGCUGAAAUGCCUGUAGUGUUCAUGUUAGGUCUAAUAAACCUAAGCCUAGACGACUAGUGCCACAGAGACGAGAAUUGUGAAACGGGUAAACUCCAUGAGGUAGAAACAGAAAUUUUGGUACUGGAGUUUCUUCAAGGGAAUAACAACUAAGAAGAAAAAUCGUAAGAUUAGAUAAAUUGCUAGCACCUUGUUUACAAGGUACAAAAAGCGGCUUAUAGGU
rnacentral:RNase_P_RNA from 1 species